CAUAACCUGAAAUGUACGACAACCCUGUAAUUUUGAACCUACAUUUACUUGAAACGGGAUUCCUAUAUUUCUGUAAUAUGUCAGGCCUCCGUUCGCAGUGGAAGACAAAAAAACAGAUGCGGUUGCCCACCUAGCUGUGGCUAGGAGUCAAAAUACAGGACCGGCAUUUUGGGGAACUA
rnacentral:other from 1 species